rnacentral:tRNA from 1 species
GCGGAAGUGGCGGAACUGGUAGACGCGCAACCUUGAGGUGGUUGUGGGCUAUGCCUGUGGGGGUUCGAGUCCCCCCUUUCGCA